rnacentral:tRNA from 1 species
GCCUGAGUGGCGGAAUUGGUAGACGCAGCGGAUUCAAAAUCCGCCGAUAGUGAUAUCGUGAGAGUUCGAGUCUCUCCUUAGGCACCA